rnacentral:rRNA from 1 species
GACGAACGCUGGCGGCGUGCUUAACACAUGCAAGUCGAACGAAGUGGCGAAGGGGUGAGUAACGCGUAAUCAACCUGCCCUUCAGAGGGGGACAACAGUUGGAAACGACGGCUAAUAACGCAUACUGCAGGAAGGGAUAGCGUCUGAGUAGGUAGUUGGAGGGGCAACGGCCAACCAAGGCGAUGAGCAAUAGCCGGUCUGAGAGUCAGAACGGCCAACUUGGGACUGAGACACGGCCCAGACUCCUACGGGAGGCAGAAGUGGGGAAUCUUCCGGAAUGGACGAAAGUCUGACGGAGCAACUCCGCGUGAGUGAUGACGGUCUUCGGGUUGUAAAGCUCUGUUAAUCGGGACGCGGUACCGGAAUAGAAAGCCACGGCUAACUACGUGCCAGCAGCCGCGGUAAUUC